CAGUGGAACUUUGAGUUCCCACGUAUGUAUUUUUGGACUAACAAAUUCAGUUGCGGUUUAAUCCAUUCCGUCCAAGUCCAAGUUCGUAAUGUCCACCAAAACUACAGAUCCGUGACAAUUUCGGAGUACCUCCAAACUCCAACGAACAUCAACCGUCCAUCGUGUAAAUCCCACGGAACCAGACAGGAGCGGAUCCAAAGAAAUACAGCCGUUGAUUCGCUUUAACAUCUAACGGCUCUCCCGUUUGGCUUCUUCGGUCUCGAUUCUUCCGCGCGCGCCGGCUCCGGCGCCGCCGCCGCCUCCCUUUCCGCCGCUUUUAUGUCCACCACGCAUCGCGUCGCGCGCCUCCGCUCCUUCUCCUUCGCAGAGCCGGCCCGGCACCCCUGCCUCUGCCUGCCUUCUUCCUCGCGGCCGCCGAUCCCGUCCUCUCGCAUGUCAAGCGUAUGCAGCGGGCGUACGCGGGACGGCGGGAGGGCCGGGGCGACGGUUUCGACCGCAGGCAGCAUCGUGAGUUACUCUUGUUUCCUGCGUCCCAAUGCUUUAUGCUCCACACUGCAGGAGCUGGAUGAACAUUCUUUGGGCUGGGCUUCAGAAGAACGCACAGCGAGAGGUCGUCCGACUGGGACCUCAACUGGCAUCCGAAACGGUUCUGUUCUCACGCCAGGAUGGGUCGAGGCUGAUCUACUGAUCCAAUGCCAAAGCUUCAAGCGAGCAUGGCCACCGGUUUCAACAUUGUACAAAUUCUAAUUCUAUAAAUGCAAAGAAGACAAAGACUCCAAAGGCGCACGCAAAGAAGUCCUCCUGUAGAUAUAGAUAUGUCAGCAUCCAUCCAAUACUGUAAUAAGUUUCAUUACUGAAACGGUGCACGCACGGCAAGGUCAACUGGAAGGUCGGUCAAGAUAGUAACUGGCACGCGUCGCCGUGCUCCAAGGAUCACUUCUCAGAGAAAAAUGAUCGUUCAUUGAUUUGACACUUUGUAAUGCCAACAUAAAAGAGUUAUGGACUGGACCGAAGUUGUUUCUGUAAGUGAUUCUAAUCUUGUUUUAGGUCCUAUUCCUACGGGUUUAUGUAUUACCUGCACCAGUGUUAAGGUACGCGUCUUGGUGUGUCUCCUUGUCCCUGGCCAGAUUAUGUCUGCAAUUACCUGAAAUUUCUUCUAUUUGGAGAGAC